rnacentral:rRNA from 1 species
GACGAACGCUGGCGGCGUGCUUAACACAUGCAAGUCGAACGGUAAGGCCCUUUCGGGGGUACACGAGUGGCGAACGGGUGAGUAACACGUGGGUGAUCUGCCCUGCACUUUGGGAUAAGCCUGGGAAACUGGGUCUAAUACCGGAUAGGACUACGCGAUGCAUGUCGUGUGGUGGAAAGCUUUUGCGGUGUGGGAUGGGCCCGCGGCCUAUCAGCUUGUUGGUGGGGUGAUGGCCUACCAAGGCGACGACGGGUAGCCGGCCUGAGAGGGUGUCCGGCCACACUGGGACUGAGAUACGGCCCAGACUCCUACGGGAGGCAGCAGUGGGGAAUAUUGCACAAUGGGCGCAAGCCUGAUGCAGCGACGCCGCGUGGGGGAUGGCGGCCUUCGGGUUGUAAACCCCUUUCAGCACAGACGAAGCGUAAGUGACGGUAUGUGCAGAAGAAGCACCGGCCAACUACGUG